UGUCCAGAAAGAGUCUACCCUGGCUGCUUUGUUUUUGAAUUGCUGUAACAGAAAGAAAGAAAAAUCCUUCUCUCUUUUCCCUCCCACUCCGUGGCCGGUCUCGAUUCCAUUUCCUCAGUAGGUUUUUCUUCCUUAUCUGCUGCCGCAUCCCAUUCCCAUUUCUUGUCUACAAAUUUCGCUUGUUUCUCUUGAGUCAUUGCCGUCCGAUUCCAUUUUGCUCCCAUGGCGGCGGCGGCGGCGCAGGAGCCGGAGGUGAUCCGUGACAAGGCAGCGAUGCGCGCUUGGUCGCGCCGCCGUCGCGCGGAGGGCAAGGCCGUCGCUUUGGUCCCCACCAUGGGCUUCCUCCACGACGGCCACCUCUCGCUCGUCUCCGCAGCGAGGGCGGCCGCCGCUGGCCCCGUCGCCGUCGUCGUAUCCAUCUACGUCAACCCCAGCCAGUUCGCCCCCACCGAGGACCUCGCCACCUACCCCUCCGACUUCGCGGGGGACCUUCGCAAGCUCGUCGCCACCGGCGUCGUUGCUGCAGUUUUCUGCCCCCCGGACCUCUACGUCCGCGGAAGCGCUGGCCGCCCGACCGCCAGCGCAUCCGGGGGCGCGGCCUCCUGCCUGGAGGAGGCCGGUGGGCAUGCGCACGAGACGUGGAUUCGCGUGGAGCAGCUGGAGAAGGGGCUGUGCGGGAGCAGCAGGCCCGUCUUCUUUCGCGGCGUGGCCACCGUGGUCGCCAAGCUGUUCAAUAUCGUCGAGCCGGACAUCGCGGUGUUCGGGAAGAAGGAUUAUCAACAGUGGCGCGUCAUCUGCCGGAUGGUUCGUGAUCUUGAUUUCGCCAUUGAGAUUAUUGGCUCAGAAAUAGUGCGAGAAGCUGAUGGUCUUGCCAUGAGCUCCCGCAAUGUACACCUCUCGUGUGAGGAAAGGGAAAAGGUGAAAAGUUGUGAAUCAAAAUUUCGGCCAUGCAGCAGGAAUUACUCGCCGCCGCUGUUUUCCAUGCUUCUCCUCUUUUGAUUUGAACAGUAAUCAGUUUGUUUGCACAAUAACAUUUAUGUGGUUAUUAUGACUCAAUAGGUGAGAGGUUGAGACAUAACAAUUUUAUUUAUUACAUGGCAGGCUGCUCCAUGUUUCCUAGAAGAUACCGUAUUUUCAAGUGUUGAUCAUUGUAUAUACUUUUUGUAAAUACCUUUUGUUCCUUUCUCAAAAUAAACAUGUCCUUCAAGUGUGAUGAUCUCCUAUGUAGGCAUUAUCCAUUAGUAGGUCACUGGUGAAUGCUAGAACCUCUGUGCUGAAUGGAAACAAUCAUGGCCAACAAAUAAAAGAUCAAAUAGUGCAGACACUUACAGAAGCUGGCGGUCAGGUUGACUAUGUUGAGAUUGUGGAGCAAGAAAGCCUGACGCCAGUUGAGAGGAUCGAUCGCCCUGCUGUGAUUUGUGUGGCAGCAUGGUUUGGGAAGGUGAGGUUGAUUGACAAUAUCGAGCUCCAGGCACCAUCGUGAGAUUUGGAAAUCGGAUGAGCCUCGAACGAAUAUGUGUUCAUUGAGGGUGGCUUCUUGUUCUGUACCAAUACCAAACAGAGUGCUGUUGCAGUUUCGGUCCCUAACUUUUUGUCUAGAUUAAUAAUGGUGAUGCUGCUGUAUGUAUGUACACCAUGCAACCACGUAUAGAUAGCUAGUAGCCACCCAUUGUUCUGAAAGUCACUUAAUUGGAUGUUCAACUCUUUUCUGGAAGGAAACCUGGGUUAAAGACCAACCUCUAUGCCGUCUGUAUCCUGUGCUGUAAAGAUAUCACAGUUAAGUCUUUUAUAGCUCUGAAUGGUCAGCUGACUUUCAGAAGAUGGGUACCCCAAUUCCUUUUUUGACCAA